UGCAAAAUGGAGUAGUUAGGUAGCUUGCCGGUUUCAUAGUCCGGAGGUCGUAGGUUCAAAUCCUGCUUUUGCAA
rnacentral:tRNA from 1 species